UUGAAUUCAAAUAAUAGAUGUCAUAUUUGGCUUAUUUCAAGAUAUGAAGAAGGAAGAAUUAUAACUCGUGGACUACCAGGAGAAGCAAGGAAGAGAUUGAUGAAGAAUGGAGUAUAUCGUGAUCUUGAAUUUCAGUGCUUGUAUUUGAGUCUGGGUCUGCUAGAACUUCUGCUCUAUGAUGUACUAUUGAAGUCAAGAUUCACAUGUGGAAACUGAUGAUAACAUGGCAUUUUUAAGGAGAAUGUAUAAAUUAGGUUCAUAAAAGAAAAUUUAUGUUAUAACAGAAAACUUAAAAGAUAAUGUU